rnacentral:sRNA from 1 species
CUUGGGUCAAAGGGCAGAAAAGGAUGUGAUCGAUCGACGACAACUAGGAGGUGCGCUUGGAAGCGACCAUCCUUGGAAGAAAGCGAAAUAGCUCACUGGUCUUGCUCCAUGGCACCAACAAUGUAUCUUGGCUCAAGUGAUUCACCGAAG